rnacentral:rRNA from 1 species
CCUACGGGUGUCAGCAGUGAGGAAUAUUGGUCAAUGGGCGGAAGCCUGAACCAGCCAAGUAGCGUGCAGGAUGACGGCCCUACGGGUUGUAAACUGCUUUUAUACGGGAAUAACGCGCCUUACGUGUAGGGCUUUGCAUGUACCGUAUGAAUAAGGACCGGCUAAUUCCGUGCCAGCAGCCGCGGUACUACGGAAGGUCCGGGCGUUAUCCGGAUUUCGUGGGUUUAAAUGGAGCGGAGGCCGCAGGUCGAGCGUGCCGUGAAAUGUCCGGGCGCAACCCGGGCCUUGCAGCGCGAACUGGCGGGCUUGAGUCCGCGGAAAGCAGGCGGAAUUCGUCGUGUAGCGGUGAAAUGCUUAGAUAUGACGAAGAACCCCGAUUGCGAAGGCAGCUUGCUGCAGCGGAACUGACGCUGAUGCUCGAAAGCGCGGGUAUCGAACAGGAUUAGAUACCCUUGUAGUC